rnacentral:lncRNA from 1 species
AAACCAUACUGCUACACAAAAUACAACUGGUCUCUUGAUUGUUUCCACUGGUUCUAAACUUUCUUGAUCCACAAUCUGAUGCAAGGAAGGUGUCAGCAAUGAGGUAAAACAAAACCAAGAAAUCGAAAAGAACUUUUUAUUUGUAUUGAUGACCUUCAUGUUGCUAAGCAAAAAUAUUGUGGAACAUUGCACAGGUUCAUGUCUGGAUAAAGCUUCCAAGACGCUAAACAUACCAAAUACUGAUAAUGUGUCUACUAGUUCAAGAGGGUAGUAUAGGAGAAGUGGUGUGACUAGAGAGCUUUAUCAUGUUACUCGCCCCUUAAAAAAGCCAAUGUAUGGUACUC